rnacentral:rRNA from 1 species
CACCGCAGCUACCAUGCAGUCGAGCGGUGAGGUAGCUUGCUCCCGGACCCAGCGGCGGACGGGUGAGUAAUGCCUAGGAAUCUGCCUGGUAGUGGGGGACAACGUCCGGAAACGGACGCUAAUACCGCAUACGUCCUACGGGAGAAAGCGGGGGAUCUUCGGACCUUGCGCUAUCAGAUGAGCCUAGGUCGGAUUAGCUAGUUGGUGGGGUAAAGGCCUACCAAGGCGACGAUCCGUAACUGGUCUGAGAGGAUGAUCCGUCACACUGGAACUGAGACACGGUCCAGACUCCUACGGGAGGCAGCAGUGGGGAAUAUUGGACAAUGGGCGAAACCCUGAUCCAGCCAUGCCGCGUGUGUGAAGAAGGUCUUCUGGUUGUAAAGCACUUUAAGUUGGGAGGAAGGUACUUUAGUUAAUACCUAGAUGUAUUGACGUUACCUCCAAAAUUAACAACGGCUAACUUCUGGCCAGCAGCCGCGGGAAUUACAGAGGGGGCCAGCCGUAAUUCGGAUUACCGGGGCUUAAGCGCGCGUUGGUGGGCUUACUAGGUGGAAGGUAAAUCCCCCGGGUCUAACUGGGAACUGCCACCAAAUCUAG